rnacentral:lncRNA from 1 species
AUAUGUGAAACUAAUUAGGAAUCAAACUGUCUUCAAUAGUUAGAUGGAGGUGGAGGUAUGAAAGGAAUGGAAGGCAAGCUGCUGCUGGGAAGUGGUGGAAGAAUAGUGAUAAGCUUAGGCUAAGAUGGUGGGAUUGUUGGUAGCUUUGGGAUUCAAGGCAAUAUAGGAGGAAGUGGUGGAAUUGGUACGCUGGGAAGUGGUGGAAGAAUGGGGGUAGGGUUAGGAAGUGGUGGAAUUGGUACUGGUACUCUAGGAAGUGGUGGAAGACUGGGGGUAAGGUUAGGAAGUGGUGGAAUUGGUAAUCUGGGAAGUGGUGGAAUUGGGAAUCCAGGAAGUGGUGGAAGAAUGGGGGGAAGUGGUGGAAUUGGUGGAAUUGGUGGAAUUGGUGGAAUAGUUACUUGCUGAAGAUUUCGAGCUGCUAGGCUAACCUCCAUGCUUGAAAAACCCAACAAAAUGAAACAAGCUAAUAAAAUGAAAACGUUGGAACCUGCCAUUUUUUUUGGAGAGAUGAACUAAAGAUUGAAGAUUUGAGUUGAGGUUUGCAUUGAGGAAAGCAGGAUUGCUUUUCAGGUAUUUAUAGCCACAUUUGAAAGACUUAAUUAAUUAUUUGUUUGAGAUAUUAUUCCCCUACUUAGCAUACUACCUUUUCUCACCCAUCUGUCAUCACCAACAAAAAGAAGAAGAAGAUAAAUUAGACUCAUCCUUAAACUUAAAAAUAUUCUGAAUGAGUCGAUUUGUCUAAUGUUAGUUAAAAAUUAAAUGCUUUUAAAUUUUGUGUGAACUAUAUCUUUCUAUUUCCAUUUACCUAAUGCCAGUUAAAAAAUAAAUAUUUUUUUAUAUAAUGAGUGUAUAUUUGACUUACGUAUGUGGCGCUCUAUUAAAAAAAAAAUUAAAUUAGGUGGAUCAAAUUUAAAUAUUAGAUAACUAUACAUGUUGGUACUUAAACUUGGUAUUUAAGAUUUUUUGUUGUCCAAUUAAAGGUUGAAUUUAAAUUAGAUAGUUGAACUUGAUUUCUUAGUUCAAAUUCCAAGCUUAGAUACCAAAAUGUUUGGUAUAAUAUUAAAUUAAAAAAAUUCAAGAUGUAAAAUACUAAUUUAACAUUUAAACUAGUUGCCCCAUACAGCUACAAUGGUAAUGAUAGAAGAAAAGUAAUUGAAUGGGAUUAGGAGAUGAAGAUCCUAGUAAAGCCACCUCUAGAGGUAUGAGAGUUGCGACCACUCUAUAAUUGAAUGCUACAAAAAUGGUUAUAUCUAGGAAUCUUUCGCCAUUAGCUAAUAAUGGAAAUAGCUAUGUAUCACUUAAAAAACAACAAUUCAUAUUUUCUUGAAAUAUAUUCAAAAAAUUGAAAAAUAUAAAAAAUAUCAUUUUUCUAAAAAUCCAAAAAUUUUAUGUGAAUAUCAACAAAUUCAGAAACUAAAAGAUAUGGAAAGCUUUAAAGUUUUUCCAAAAAGAUAGAAAUUUGCAGAAAAUUAGGUAUUUAAGAUUCCAAUAUUUUUAUUUCCCUUCUUUCCUGAUUGGAGAAAAUAUGAAUUAGGUGACGCCAUCGUUAACAAUUGGGGCAAGGUAAGACACGGUUGGAAACUUCAAGUAGGUGUAAUUUUGGGGAAAUAUUACAUUGUUUAAUAAUGAAUAUUGACAUGAUUUACCCUGAGUUAAAUCAAUUAUAUUUUACUUAUAUUUUCUAUACAAAUUUUAUACAAGCCUAAAUUAAUCAUAUUCAAUCAUAUCAAUCUCAAUAUUUUGAAUAAGAUAAUAAUAUUUUCUUAAAACUAUAACUAUAUAAAGUAUUGUAAAAAUAAUUAUUCAAUUAUACAGCUAUUUUAUUUGUAUAAUUAUAAUUAACAUAACCUUCUCCAUCAUAUAAUUAAAAUUUGUUCAACUUAUAAUUACAACAACUUUCCGUGAAGAAAAGAGAGAGACACAAAUACAAACUAAUGAGAUUAAAUAAAUCUCAAAUAUAAAAUAUUCUUCAAUAAACAUCAUUAAUCAAUCUCAAAAGAAACAAGAAAAGAAAUUCAUAAAUUAAACAAUAAGAAUAUAAUAUAACAAUCCAUUAUUUAAUAAAUUCAAAAAAAAAAAUCACAUUUAUAUUUUAAAUUUUAUUGGUCUAAUUUUAGAUAGGUUUAUAAACUUCAAAUGAUUUAAAAUAUUAGUGUCACGCCCCUAAAUAUAGGAAGGUUCAUUGAAAUGAAUAAAUAAGAAAUGUGUUGACACCAUUUUUUUGAUGAAAACGGGGUUGACUUGGAUUUUGAAAAUGAAAAUUAAAAUGACAGUCGCCACCAAUCCUUUUUGAUAAGGUGUGAUCGGAUCACCUUGAAAAGUGGUUGUUUUUAAUAAACGAUUUAAUUUUAUUAAAACAACGAGUUUGGUCCACGAAAUUCAGAAAAAUGGGUUCGGGAGUCGGUUACGUACGAGGAAGGAUUAGCGCCCUCGUGACGCCCAAAAAUUGGUACCUAGUUGAUUAGUUAAUGUCUUAAUGUCAAAAAUUGUAAACUUUGAAGAAUUUUAAAAAUACGAUCCUUAAUUUUUUUAAAAAGAAAACUUAUAUAAAUCAAGUUACUCGUUAAGACCCUCCCAUUUCAGAAAGAGAAAACGUCACGCCCAAUGCGUUAGGGCACGAUAUUUUACCUCUUCAGAAAUGAGCUUGUCUAAAAACUUACACAAUAAAAUUUUAAAGGGCAUUCAAUUGUUUAAGUCAUGUGAAAAAUUGCAACCCAAUACAUUAGGGCACAAUUUCUCAAAAUAUUAAACAUUGAAUAUUGCAUUUAUUUUGAAAAAUCCUCAUAUCCAAUGCGUUACGGCACAACGUACUGAAUUCUCGAUAAUGAGCUAUUUAUUUAUGUUUUUGUUUUAAAGAGCACCCUCGAUUAUUUAGAUCCAACGAAGAAAAUUGGAACCAAUACGUUAGGGUUCAAUUCUCUCGAAGAUCCCAAAUACCGAGUAUUACUUUUAUUUUGAAAUUUUCCGUUUUUGAUAAAUCCGAGUAAAAAUGGAUGCAAAAUAAUGAUAAUGAUGAUAAUGUAAGUAAAAUAACACGAGCAAAACAAAAUAUAAAUAAAUAAUAAGACUAAUAUAAAUACAAUCGUGCAGGCGCAAUAACAAAUAAGAAACAGAUAAAAACUAAAGCAAGAAAAAUAAUAAUAACAUACAUGUAAAUAAAUAACUGAACAAAAUUAACAAAAUUAAAAAAAAUAUAAAAGAUAUAUUUAUACAUAUAUAUGUAUAAAAUUAUGAAAAUAUUAAAAACAUAUGCAUGUACACAUUUUUGAAGCUAUUAUACAUGAAAAUAUAUGUAAGUAUAUAUGCACAUACAUGAAUACGUAUAGAACCAUCAUCAAAUAUAUAAAAGUAUAUAUAUAUAUAUGUAGGUAUAUAUGAAUCACAAAAUUUAAAGAAUAAUAUAUAUAAGAUAUAUAUUUUGGAAGUAUAAAGAAUAUGUAAGAAUUUAUAUAUACAUACAUUUAUAUAUGAAAAUGAAAUAUAUAGAUAUGUAUGUGGGUAUGUAUAAAUAUUAUAAAAUAUAAAAACAUAUAUGUGUACGCAUAUAUAUAAAAAUAUACAUAUGUAUAUAUACAUAUAUAUUAUGAAAAUAAAGCUAAAAAAAAACUAGUUAGUGUAUUAACAUAAUUGUAACGACUAAAUAAAGGAAAAUAAUAAUAAUAAUAAUAAUAAUAAUAAUAAUAACAUUAAAAUAAUUAACUAAAUAAUAAAAAUUGCUAAAAAAAGAUUAAAUCGAAAUAAAAACGAAAAUACUGGGCAAAUUCGAAAUAAAAAAAACGAAAAGGAUUAAAUUGCUACACGCAUCGAAAGAGGGAGACCAAAACGAUAAAUAAACCAAAGCCCCAAAACGCAGCGCUGCAACGGACUAAAAUGAAACAAAAGGAAAACUAUGUGGCUAAAUUAAAAUAAAAGAAAAUAAUGAAAAAGGGCCAAAUUGCAACUCGUUGCAAAGUCGGAGUGACUACGCGCGCAAAUAUCCCCUUUUAAGAAAACACGCGGAUCCUCCCCCAGGGUCGGGUCACCGAGCGGGUCAGGGCCAAAAUGGCGUCGUUUUGGCACCUGACCCUAAUGACAAAACGGCGCCAUUUCGUUUAGGGUAUUUAAACCUAAUUUUUCCCAAAAAACCUAAUUUCAGCCACCAUUUAAAAAAAAUAAAAAACUUUCUUUUUCUUUCAAAAAUCUGACUUUUGGGGUAAAAUUUUUUACUUUCUCUUGAUAUUUUGCGCGAAUAUGAAUUGUUUUUUUUUAAAAAAAUAUGUAUAAAAAUAAAAAUGAACGGGUAUAAAAAAGAAAAGAGAUGCGAAACUAAAAUCACAUUGGAGUGAAUCUGUUUGUUUUUUUUAAAUCUGUUUUUGUAUUAUUUAAAAGUGUUCUUACAAAAAAUCUAAAAAGGAACCCCCUAAAUUACAGAAAAAUUUGGCUUUUAUAGCCGAUUCUCCCCCCUCAUUCUUUGCUCUGUUGCUUUUCUAUUGCUUGCAGGGACUUGACGCGGUGCAUGUGGGGUGUCGGUGGCAAGUGGGGUGAUGGAACAUCCGACGGUGGCCGUGGCUGCUGGUGAUGCGACUGGUGUGCGGCGGCCAAGAGCUAGGGUUUCAGAAAAGCUGAAACCCUAGUUUGACUGUUGGGGUUGGGAUUUUGGGCCAAUUGGGUUAUUGGGCCUCGAGUUUGGGUUUGUAAUUGGGUUAAUUUAUUUUUUUUGGGUUUUAUGUUUGGGUUUAUUGAAUAUUGGGCUGAGGGUUAGUGGGUUAGGCCUAGGUGGGUUGGUUUGGGUUUUGGGCCCCGGGCUAAAAUUGGGCUUGUACAAAAUGAAUUAGGUUUAAUGGCUAAGUGUUAAAGAAUUCACCUUAGAGACUUAAGUUCGAGUUCCCUUCCUUCCUUUUUAUUUUUGGUAACUUGGUUUUAGGGUAAAGUCACACUCAAAAUAUAUACGACUAGGAAUUAAGAAUAAAUAAGAAAUGGGCAAUAGGUCCAAUGGUUAAGUGUUAAUCCCCUAUCUUAGAGAUCUUAGGUGUAAGUUUCCUUUUUCCCCUCCCAUUUUUCUUUUGGAUUUCGACAAUAAGGGGAAAUUUGCUGUGCCACCCCUAGGGUUUUCAAACCCGAGCUAUUUAAUCAUUCUUUUCCCAUUUGGAUUAGUUUUGCUUCUUUUCAAAUUCUUGUAAAAUUUCUACUCAUAUUAUAUUUCUCUUAUAUUUAUUUUCUUUUCCUUUCUUUUCAUUGUAACACCCUAAACUCGGUCGAAUAGGUUCGACCUAAAUUUGGAGAGCUACAUUAGCCACCGAAGUGACUUUCCAUUAACUCCCAAUCUAACCUCUAACACACCACUUACUUGCAACGUAUAUUAUGAUAAGUUAUAUCAUAACAAGGGUAUAAUAUAAUACAUAUAAUGUAAAUCAUGCAAGCUUAAAACCAAUGUAACACCCCAAACCCGGCUGAGUAGGUUCGACCCAAAUUUGGCGAGUUACAUUAGCCACCGAAGUGACUCUCCAUCAAUUCCCAACCUAACCUCCAACACACCACUUACUUGCAAUGUAUGUUAUGAUAAGUUAUAGCAUAACAGUGAAAUAAUAUCACAUAUAGAAUGUAAAUCAUGCAACCUUAUCAAACAAAAUGAGGGAACGGUUCGCAUGUUAAUUACUACGUAAGGCUACGUAGUAAGGUUAUCGCACCUAAGGGUUCACAAGCAUAUAGGGGGUCACAAACAAACAAAGGUCGCAGAAAAUAACACUUCGCAAAAAAAAUUGGCUCGCGUAUGAUGUUAAUACAUAUUUUGGAAAAAUUGAAAGAAUGCGACAUGGUACUCAUGCUAGGAGAAUUAAAGAAACAUCAAAGUAUAUUCAUGCAGAGAAGAAAUUAGUAAUAAAGGUUUAACUUCAUGGUUCGCAAAAUAUUAAAAGAAUAAACUUAAACUUUAGGGAAAUCGUUUCAUUAACAGAAUCAUAUAAUGAUAAAUCUAAACCUAUAUAAAUAAAACCCCAUCACCUAUUUCCCUAGGUUCGCAUUAUUUGUUCAGAGAUAGCCUCGCUAUUGCCAUUGGCGACUUACUUACCUGCAAAGUAAGAGAAGAGUGGGUGAGUUCAUUGCGAACUCGGUGAAUAAUCCGGAAUCAUCAACGUAUGAUUAAAAUACAGAGUUUAAAAUAGAAAGAAGACUUAGUAUGAAAAACUAUUGUAUCGCGUGUUGGGUUCGCAGUGAAUGCUAGGUUCGCAGUGAAUGUGCGAGACCCAGUUUAUAGAACCUGCUUGUCAUAAAAUCAUAUAAGUUUGAAAAUAGUUUUGCAUGUACUUACUGAAAAUCAUACUUAAAAACUUAGCUUGUUCUUGUUUGAAAAUGGAUCUUUUAUAGAAUGAAACAUGCUCACAUACUUAUCUUAUCGGAAUGGCUGAGGAAUAUAAAAUAUGUUCUUGCACUUUUCUUAACUUACUUAUAUUAUCUUGUCUUAUUUUGUUGGAUAUGUGGAUCUCUUUAUAACGCCUCAGAAUGACUCAAAGAGUCCUUAAGAUGUCCCAUAAGUGUAACAUAAGCUAAACACUCUCUUGUACACCAACAUGUCCUAUUGAAUGGAGCAUAGCUUGGCGUUCCCUUAUCUCUCCACAUGUCCCAAAGCCUCAAUGCCCAAAUCACAAAACUUAUUGGUGAGUACUCACAAUCCUUUGGUAUACAAAUAUAUCCAAUAUAUAAGCUCACAAAGGCACUCGUAUAGAAACUUAGCACAUAGAGCUAGAAAAAACAUAGCUUAUAGAACUGUAUUUUUAAAACAUGCUUUAAAACAUAGGCUUGCAUAGGAGCAUGCGUAACACAUAUCUUUAAAACAUAGCUUAAAACAUAUCUUGAAAACAAAUUAUCAGAACUUUUAAAAACAUAGUUUUAUAGGAAAAAAAACUUACUCUUGGAACUUAGUUUUUAAAAAAAAAAGAUUCUUAGAAAACAUAACAGUUCACACACAAGUUACGAAACCUGAGCAUUCAUACUAAAAAACAUGAUAGUUACCACACUUAUGGCAAUUCUUAACCACUCAUCGAUAAAACUGAAAAUUUAAAUGAGUUUUGCCUUGCCUUUAUCCUUGCUGUAGAUAGUCUGGUUGGUUCGUAACAUGCAUAAACACACAAAUUACUUCAAUAGACAAAACUUACGAACUUCACACAUGCAAGCGAACCUAGCUUUCUGGACAAUAAACCCUAAUAGGAAAAAUGCUUACCUUGGUUGCUACGAAUUUGGUUCAGAACAAAGACUUGACAACAAAAUAACGAUGAAAGAAUUUUUCCUAGAAUAAGGAUUGUAUUUAUAGGCACUAAGUAUCUUAGUGACCUUAGGAUACCCUAUUUGACUUAGGAACCCUCUACGGUUUAAAAGAAGGUUACGUGCACGAAAAGUAUCCUAGAUACACAAUAUAUUUAUUUCCUAAGUUUAGUCUAACUUGACUUUUGAUUGGCGAACCCCUAGUUUGUAACUCAAUUGUUGAACCCCAGCUCACUAAACAGAUUGGAGAACACAACUUUCAAUGAAUCUAGCGAACCUCUUACCACAUCAUUUGGCGUGCAGCAGUUUGCUAGAACACUGGCAAACUCCUUACUGGUAUCCCCUUUGGUGAACCCUAGUUUGCUGAAACACUAGUGAACCCUCACUUGUAAGGUCAAAACUUCUAGAUCAGGUUUCAGGAUGUUACAAACACCAUAUUUUUAUCAUAAUUGUUGUUGAUUAUUUUUCUUUCCUGAAUCAAAUCAUCUUUCAUUAAAUUAUUUUUCUAUUAGUUUUGUAAUUGUCGUCAAUAGCACCUCUAUAUUUGCCAAGAAACAAACCGAAUUUAGGUGAAUCAGACCGAAAUAAAGUGUGAAGAACAUCAACCGGAACUGUGGUGAAAGGUGUGUGUCUUUUCCAAGUGAAUCAGUGGUGAUCUGUGUACGAUUAAGGCCACAUGGGCUAUGCGUGUGGUCCACCAACUACCACACAACCAUGUGCACUUGUAGAUUUUAGGGACUUCAUGAACCAUACGGCCUCAGCCAGUUACACGAUCGUGUCUUUCCUGCAAGGUUUAUCAUUUUCCACAUGGAAUCAUGCUGUUACAUGACCGUCUAACCCUUACACAGGGUCUUACCCUUCUCACAUGGCCUGGCCAUACAGCCGUGUGACCCUGUUUUACAGUUUUGACCAAAAAUUUAUCAUAUGUUCAAUUUAGUCCUCGUUUAUCCCUUGAAUUAUUUUAGAGUUUUCAUUCACUCAAUUAAGUCCUUGAUAUUGUGUUUAUUCUAGAAUCUGUGAUUUAAUGACUAAAUUCCUAUUUUUAUAUUGUAUGAGAUGUGAAUAUUACAUGCCUACUGUCAUUGUAAUACUGAUAAACUAUUAAUGAUAAUAUUGUUACCACCCUAUUGAGUACAUGUUAAGCAUGUCUACUGCUAAUGUUGAACUGAAUACAUGAUAAGCAUGUCUAUUAUUAUUAUUUUUUGUAUUGUUCUAUUACAAAGCAUGCCAUAUUGCAUUGCAUGGGGUGGGACGAUAUGUAUGGAGAAAGGGUGACAGUUUAAUAAUCUGCAACCCAGUGGUGGCUCGUCCACAAACCCAAUGGCAGUUUAUCUGCAAAUGUUUUAACUAAAAAUACUGGUUGUUUAUCCGCAAUUUUUACAACGAAGUGGUAGUUUAUAUACAAAUCAGUGGUGAUUUAUCCACAACUCGGUGUGUAUGGAUGGAUGAGUUCUGGGGAACUCAUAGUGUGGUGUGUAGUGAAGUUGGGUAGGACCUUUUCUGAUAAACUGAAAUUGCAUUGCCAUUCAUAAACAUGUGCAUACAAACCAUGAAUUCUAAAUAUUAUAGUGAAGUGUUGAAUUGGAAAACCGAUAUUGUGAAUUGCUAUACGAUUGUGGUUAUUCUAAGAAUUGUUAUUUCGUAUGCUUUGACCACUAUGUUACACCGAUUUUCUUGUGAUAUGACUCACAUUGAGCUUAAGUUCACCCCCUUUUAAUUUCCAUCUUUAUAGAUAACCCACCAGGUUAGGACAUAGACACAACAUCUGGAAGGUCUUGGCUCAGAUAAAUUUUUUUAUUAAAAGUAUUUUAGACUUAUUAUUAUUUCUAUUAUUUGGAAUUGUAUUGUUUUAUUCAAACUUUGGCACGAGACUUAAGUUUUGAGUUUAUUUGACAUGCAUGAAAUUUAAUUUGAAUAUUAGGAUAUUGAAACAUGGAUUUUAAACUAAUUAUGCAUGAAAUUUUGGUUUCGCCAUCAUUAAAAAUAUUUUGAAUAUCAUUUUUCCGCUACGAUAUUAUGAAAAUAAGAAUUUGAAAAAAGUAAAUGAAUUGGAAAUCAACUUUUACUAAGUAAACUUUAAAAUCCAUUGUUUUUUGGAAACUUUUAUUUUUUAGUGAAAACAUGAUUACACGCAAAGUUUUUCUUCAAUAAUAAGCAAAUGUUUUAAACAACUGUUUUAUAAAAACUCCGAUAGUUGUAGUAGGCCAUUUCGGUAGCCAAUGCAAUCUUUUGAAUUCAGUCUUAACGUUUAGGCCGAGUUGAGGAAGUUACUAUUAGCAACUUAACAUUAAUUUGAACAUUAAAUGUUGGUCCAAACUUGACACGAAAUAUAUUUAGAAUACAUAAAUCAAAAAAUUAGUAAGUUGGCUACUUGGGUUAAUUUAUUGGUUUGACACAACAUAUCCUAUAGUAAUUCAAUGGGAUUAGAACAUCCCAACUCCUAGUUGAUUUAAUUGCUAGGUUAUCUAAGUCCACGCUUGCAAUUAUUGCUUAAAGCAUUUGUUUAAUAAAAUCUUAAAUUCCAAUGGAGGUGCUUUUUCAUAAUAUGAGGUAACCUAAGAAAAAGGAAAAAGUUGAACAUAUUGUUAAGUUAAAAUUGAACAAAUUAAGGCAAAGUGUACAAAUGGAGUGUCAUCAUUCAAAUCGGUCCUUCUCUUAAUUGUCAUAAGCCAAUUAGGUAAGCCAGAUUCUUUUAAUAAAAAGUAAAGAUUUCAUGGCAUCCCUAAAGCAUUGCAAAUUUUUUGUAAGCAUUAAAAUGGCAUUAGUUGGUACAAUACUGGUAUUGAUCUGUAUAUAUUGCUUCGGUUUUGAUCAGUACCAAAUAGUUUAUAUUUCGUUCAAUCAAAAUUUUGUUAUGUUUGAUUAUUUCGGUGUGUUUCGACCUAUUUUGGUCAAUAUCGGCUUGUACUAGCUAGUAUAAAAUUUGAUAUUUUAAACUAAAUUUUAAAAUUUUUUAAUCUUAAUUAUUUUAAUUUUGGCUAAAGGGUCUUCAAAGCCCUUGAACAUUAAAAUUUCAAUCAAUUAAGCCCAUCACACAUUAAAGUUAACGAUCAACCAUGAAAGAGCAACAAUAGCCAUUAUGAGCAAUUGUUUUCACCACGUGGCAUGUUAGACUGUACCACGUGACGAAAUAUGGUGUUUUAAAUUUAAAACCAUUAAAACUAUAGAAAAUCAUAAAAUAUUAAAAAAUUACAAAAGUUAUAAAAUUAUAUAAAAAUGAACAAAAUUAUAAAAAGUAGUAUAAAUGAUACAAAAAUUAUAUAAAUUAUUAAAAAAUUGCAAAAAGAAAACAUUAAAAAUAAGCUUAAAAUAAGAAUAUAUAAAAAAAUGUAAAAAAAAAAAAUUAGAAACUAAGUUUCGGAUACACAGCUCUGGCUGUAUUUUUCAUAAAUAAAAGCUUGGUUGAGAUUUUAGAUUUGGUAUAAAUACAAUAAAUAUAAUAUUUAUAGUAGUAAACAAGUGAAUGAAAUUAAGUAAUUGUGAUUGAGAUUCACCAUGAUUAUAUUUAUAGGAAUAAAAUAUUCCUAUAUAUAAUGAAAGUGUAAUUGAAUAAUAAAAUUCAUAUUAAUACAAGUUGCUUUAAAACAAAAGUAAAUAAUUUGAUAUUGAUCUUGUGAAACAAUUGAAUUUUGGUUUUGUUAUGGGAUUAAAUUAGCAAUUAAUCCUUUUUAAGAAUUUAGAGAACGAAUUAGAUAAGUUAGACAUAAAAGUAGAAGAGUAAAAAGAAAGGAAGUAGUGGGUAGAUUAACAUAAUUAGGAGUUUAAAUGAUAUGAUAAUAAUUAAAGCUUUAAUUUAGUUAAGGUAAUUAGAAAUGUUUGAUCAUAUUUUAGAUGUUAAUUGAAAUUAAACGAGUUAAUAGGUCGAAUACAAGUUUAUAUUUUAGUUAAGAUAAUUAAGAGUUUAACUAGAAUUAAAAAAAAAUAAGAAGCACAUUGAAUCGUCGAUGAAUUGAUUUGAUUCUAAAUCCAAACUCAAGAGAGUAGGAACAUAAUCCAUUGGAAACAACACUUUUAAGUUGUUUAAAUUUUUGAGAAAGAAAAACACUUUCAACCUUUUUUUUAAUCCCCACUCUAUCCACCAACCUACUCGUUGCUUUAUAAGUCAAAAUCGGGAAAUUAAAUAUUACACUAUUACUAAUUCGGUUAAAUUGGUUAAUUCGGUCAAAUGAAUAUUAUCGAUUUUUUGAUAUGUUUUUUUACUUGUUUUAACCAAAAAAAUAAAACAUAUAAAUUUCGGUUAAUUUGAUUAACCGGCCGAAUUAAUCGAAAUAUUUCGAUUUGGUUAAUGGUUAAAGAUACUAAUUCGAUUCGGUUAACUGAUCGGUUAAUUGUUUGAGCACCCCUAAAAAUAAGUCAUGGGACCAACAUACUGACUUCCAUACAAUUGUUAGGUAUAUAUAGCAACUCAUAAGUAUGAGUAGAAUUAGUACGCAGUACCUUAGAUUCAUUGAGCCACAUUUCAAAGUUUCCCAUGAUCUCUUUUGCUGUCAAUGAUAUAAUAAACUUUUUGUAUUCACAAUUAUGUUCACAAUAUAAAACAUAAUUGGUCGACUUGAAUACAAUUAAAUGAGACACUCUAAUGUUCUUUCCUUUUCCUCAAAUCUCUCUAUUUCAAUUCAACUACUCUCUAGAUAUGUCCCGUUAGAUUGAAUCAUACAUGAUCAUCGAUAGCCUACUAAAAUAGCUAAUAUUGAUGUAAAACUUCAAGAAACAGUUAAAGGUCAUGAGGGUACUUAGUAUAGAUCUUCAGUUGAUCUCAUGGGUUUCACACAACAUAGAAGCAGAGAUCAAAUCUUCUAUUACCCAUUUUGUUCGUAUAAUACACAUGUAGUAUGAAACACAUGCUAUGGUAUUACUCUCACUUUCCUUGAAGUGUAUGUCUUUAUCAAAAAAUCAAUACCACAUAGGUGAUAAUUCAAAUACACUUAGUAUCUAACUCGAGUCCACAACUUUAUUUUCUUAAUAGAUUCAACAACAAGACUUUCACCUGGAAUAAAAGACAUAUAAAGUGAAAAAUUCAUAUUUAAAUUAUCAAACAUAAAUCAAAUUGAUUAUAAUUAUAUCAUUUUGCAUAUAGCUCAUGUCGUGCAAGUGCACACUUUAGCCCCAACAAGUUUGGACCUAUGCCCUUCAUGCAUGCAAGGCAAGAUUCCAAACAUAAUCAUUCAAUCAUCAUUUAUGUGGGUUCUCAUAUAUAUACACAUCUCACACUUGGUAUUUAACCAAUGUGGGAUCUAAGCUUUUCUUUUCCUCAACAAAUAUUCACAAGUAGCUUACUUUGAGCACCAAUUUCUCAUUCAUCACUCAACCAUUUUGAGCAUAUGAUAUACUGUUGUAAAGGUCUCAUGGAGUAGAAUAUAAAAUCAUAAUUUUAUGAUUCAACUCUCAACAUUUACCAAUUAAAAAUAUGCCUCAAAGUUCCCAUAAAUUACAAAUUUUCCAACAACUUUUGAAUGCAUUAAUCAUUAUCAACAUUAACUCAAGUGAGGACAAGAAUAUAUUAUUCAACUUGCAAUCCUAGAGUUUUGACAUUCCUUUAAAAAAUCUCUAGGAAUCGGUUUUGUAAACUGAUUUGCAAUCCUCUUAUGCAUAGACUUUCUCUCUUGUUGUGAGAUUUACCUUCACACUUAUUUUUUCCAAUAUACUAACUUUAGAUAUUUGGAGUUUGGAGUUGGUCAAACAGAUGUAAAAGCUACCUUUUCCAAAUGAAAAUCUGGAAUUUACACAGACAAAGUAGAUUUCAUUGACAAAGGUGAAAUGCAUAGUCUGGGCAAGUUAUGAAGAUCAAUUUUAUGAUCUUAAGCGAUUUUCCAGAUAGUGAUAUGCUAUUUUUUUUAAUUAAGAAACUGUUUAGUUUGAUUUAAUCAUAAUUGAUAAAGACCACUUUACUCAUGUUAAAAGAAGGAAAGAAAAUUUUGUAACUAUGUCAUUUUAUGUGGGUGACAUGUUGUUGGCCGCAAAUGAAUUAGUGCUUAUCAUUAUGGGUUAUGCAAGACUACAUGUCAAUUCAUACGAAUGUGUCCUUUUUUCAAUGUUGUGAGUAGCAUCAUAUAUGUUAUGAUGUACAUAAAGCAAAGUAUCUCUUGUAUAGUUGGAUUCAAGACACUCCAAUCCAAACUCAUUGCAAAACAAUGAAAAUGAUAUUGAGGUAUUGAAAAGACACUAUGGAUUUUCACCAUGCUAUCUAAUUGUGAAUACAAAUACCUAUUAAUUAAAAGGAGAUUUAGAUGAAAUAUUGAAAUCUAUCUCCACACAUGUGUUCGUAUUUGAUAAUGGAGUGAACUCUUAAAGUAGUAAGAAAUAAACUUGUAUAGCAUGGUCUAUUAUUGAUGCUGAAAUUGGCAUUUUUAGCGAUGGUUCAAGAGAGUGUUUGGGUUAAAAUAAUCACGAUUAAUAUAGUUACGUUAAAGCAAAAUAUCUUCUAUAGUUGGAUUCAACAUAGUCCAAUCCAAACUUAUUGCAAAACAAUGAAAAUGAUUUUGAGGUCUUUUAUUGUUCUCUCUUGUAUAGUUUGCAUCUCAAGGCACUUUCUUGUUGAUUACGAUGAACAAAAAACGGUUGCAAGCUCUGGGACGAGCAAGAUCAAUAUCUUUAGAGAUCAAAUGAUGGUUAGUAUACAAAUUUAAAAACUAGUUUUUAUAAUUUCAUUUUCAUAUAGUUUUUAUUUAUUUUUUAUUAUAAAUUUUAUGCUUUUUAUAAUAUUUUAUAUGUUUUAGUAUUUUUACAAUAUUUUAAUAACUUUCUAUCUUUUUAAAUAUUUAUUACCAUUUUUAUUUUUAAUUCAAAUAAUUUAUUUUUUUCCAAUUUUCUAUAUUUUAUAAUAUUUUUAAUAAUAUUUUAUAUAUUUAAAUAUUUUUUCAUAAUUUUAAUUUUUUUAAAUUUUUCAUAAUUUAUAUGUUUUUUUAAUUUUUAUUUUAGUACUUUUUAAUGCUUUUCACAAUUUUUAAUAAUUUUUAUAAUUUAUAUUUUUUUUUCGUUUAUAAUCAUUUUUAUAAUUUAUAUAUAUAUCUGCAAUUUUAUAUAUUUUAUAAUUUUUGCAAUUUUUAUAUUUUAUAAAAUAAUUUUGUAAUACUCCAAACUCGGCCUUAACGUUAUGACCAAAUCUAGAGAUGCUAUGAAGAUACAUUAAAAAAAAUCUAGAAUCUGUUGAUUUUAUAAAAUGAUACUUGCCCUUAUUUAGUAAAAUCUGAGUUUAUUUGAGAAAUUUAUCGUUUUGAUGGGUUUGUCAAUUAUUUACUCAUAAAACUAGUCGAAUCCAAUUUGAAAACACGAUUUUUUUUGUUGUUGUAAAAUCCAUUAUUCAACAAUUCAAUUUUCAACCCACCAACGAGGAAAUCACACAGGACUUCCUGCUAACCUACCAUCUUUUUUCAAGAGUUCAAACCCAAUCCAACACCACCAACUCGACAGCACAUUAAGGGCUAACAAAAAUAAAUUAGAGACUCAAACGAUAAAUUAACAUCUUAUCGUUGAACUAGUAAACUCAUUCUAUCACAAAUUGAUCAAAAAUAGUAUUUAAGUGGUAAGGAACAAGAUAAGGAUAAAAGACAAAAAUAAUAAAAUUUCUUAAAAAUGAGAUUUGAACCCUAAUCAGUAAAACAAAUACUUAUUCAUGACAUAAAUUAACAAAUUAAAAAUUCAUAUUUUUGGGUCUUAAAAGUUUUUAAUAAAUUAUAAUUACUUGAUUCCAGUUUCUUUAUUAUGCCCAAAUUUAAGAUUAAGCCCUAUAUUUUAAUUUUGACAUAAUUUGAUUUAUUUAUUUUUAUAAUGUCAUUAGUUAUCUUAAAUCGCUAACAUUAUUAGCUAUGCCAAGUAAAAUAACAUCGCGUAUUUUUUUUCUUAAAAUCAUCACUUCUAACUAAAUAAUGGCUUAAUCACUUUUUUAACUAAUUAUACUAACAUAGAUUUUUUUUAGUUGGAACGAGUAUGUUUAAGGAAAAAUCACCUCAACACUUUACUUGAAAUUAGUAAUCACAUUAAUUAUUUGGACUAACUAAAUCAUUACUGAAUCACCUUCUAACUAAUUAUAGUAAUGUAUAUAUUUAAGAAAAAGCUCACUUUAAUGUUUUAACUGAAAUUAUUAACCGUGUUAAUUACUUAAACUAACUAAUGAAAAAUAUUUCAAAUUAAUUUAUACUGAAUAACUCUCAAAUCCAAGUAUAAUAAAAUAAUAUGACUAACUCAAACUUGGCGUUGAAUUGAGUUUGGGAGUAAAAUAAUCACAUCACUCAUUGGCAAAGCAUGACUGUGAUUAUGAUAUGGUUUUUCGAAGUAUAACUAUGGUGGAGUUGAUAGCAUUGAUUAGAAUACCUUUAUAAAUGAAUAUAUAACAUUUAAUCAUGUAUAUAUUUUUAAUAAUUUAAUAACUUAAAAAAACACCACACUUUAUUAUAUAUGUAAAAUGUAAAUAGAAGCUACAUUCUUAUUUCAUGAAAUAACAUCAUAGAGAAUGUGAUGGCAGAGUUCAUUCUCAGUAAUAUAUGUGAUACUAAUUAGGAAUCAAACUGUCUUCAAUGGCUGGAUGGAGGUGGAGGUGGAGGUGGAGACAUGAAAGGAAUGGAAGGCAAGCUGCUACUGGGAAGUGGUGGAAGAACAGUGAUAGGCUUAGGCUAAGAUGGUGGGAUUGUUGGUAGCUUCGGGAUUCAAGGCAAUGGAGGUAUGCAGGGUUGAGCUGAGAAUGAUGGUAGAUCUAGGAUUGAAGGCAAUGGAAGUAUGUUGGGCAACUUACGAAGUGGUGGUAGUUCUAAGUUCUGGGAUUGAAGGAAAUGGUGGUGGUUCUGGGAUUAAAGGAAGUGGUGACAUCGGAGGUGGCAAUGGUACCGGUAAAUAUGCAGAUGGCAAUGGUACUGGUAAAAAUGGAGGUGGCAAUGGUAUUGGCGACAAUGGAGGUAGCAAUGGUACUGGUGACAAUGGUAUUGGCGACAAUGGAGGUGGCAAUGGUAUUGGUGGAAAUGGAGGUGGCACUUGCUGAAGAUUUCGGGUUGCUAGGCUAACCUCCAUGCUUGAAAAACCCAAGGAAAUGAAGCAGGCUAAUAAAAUGAAAACGUUGGAAGCUGCCAUUUUUUUUUGGAGAGAUGAACUAAAGAUUGAAGAUUUGAGUUGAGGAAAGCAGGAUUGGUUUCGGGUAUUUAUAGCCACAUUUGAAGGAGUUUUUUAAUUAUUUGUUUGAGAUAUUACUCCCCUACUUAGCUUACUACCUUC